UAGUAUUUAACGAUACUCGAUACCGUCUCACGUAAAUUUUUAGUAUGGAAAAUUUUACAGCGCCUCUAGCGGUCACUCGUGGAACUAAAAUCGCUACCAUGAGUUUACAAUAAAUACGUAUCGAAUAAAAACUCGCUAGCGACUAUUGUUUUAAGCAGUUUCUCAUGUGAAUCGGUACCAUGAGUAAACAAUUUGACAGGUGGUAUCCUAAAAUACCGUUACUACAGUAGUAAAGUAACUCACUAGCCUUUUGUAGGGUGAAAGUGUUUCACGCAAAUCAAU